AUUGAACGCUGGCGGAAGGCCUAACACAUGCCCGUCGAGCGGAGAGGCAGCCGGGUGAGUAAUGCCUAGGAAUCUGCCUGCUCGUGGGGGAUAACGUCCGGAAACGGGCGCUAAUACCGCAUACUAUCAGAUGAGCCUCGGUCGGAUUAGCUCGUUGGUGGGGUAAAGGCCUACCAAGGCGACGAUCCGUCACGGGGCUGAGAGGAUGAUCAGUCCAACUGGAACUGAGACACGGUCAAGACUCAUACGGGAGGAAGAGGGGGGGAAUAUUGGACAAGGGGCGAAAGCCUGAUCCAGCCAUGCCGGGUGUGUGAAGAAGGUCUUCGGAUUGUAAAGCACUUUAAGUGGGGAGGCGUUACCAACAGAAUAAGCACCGGCUAACUUCGUGCCAGCCGCCGCGGUAAUUC
rnacentral:rRNA from 1 species